UUUUUGGAGAGUUUGAUCCUGGCUCAGGACGAACGCUGGCGGCGUGCCUAAUACAUGCAAGUCGAGCGAAUCUGAUGGGAGCUUGCUCCCUGAUGAUUAGCGGCGGACGGGUGAGUAACACGUGGGUAACCUGCCUGUAAGACUGGGAUAACUCCGGGAAACCGGGGCUAAUACCGGAUAACUUUUUUCUUCGCAUGAGGGAGAAUUGAAAGAUGGCUUCGGCUAUCACUUACAGAUGGACCCGCGGCGCAUUAGCUAGUUGGUGAGGUAACGGCUCACCAAGGCGACGAUGCGUAGCCGACUUGAGAGGGUGAUCGGCCACACUGGGACUGAGACACGGCCCAGACUCCUACGGGAGGCAGCAGUAGGGAAUCUUCCGCAAUGGACGACAGUCUGACGGAGCCACGCCGCG
rnacentral:rRNA from 2 species